rnacentral:rRNA from 1 species
AGUGAACGCUGGCGGUAGGCCUAACACAUGCCAGUCGAACGGCAGCACAGUAAGAGCUUGCUCUUACGGGUGGCGAGUGGCGGACGGGUGCGGAAUACAUCGGAAUCUACUUUUUCGUGGGGGAUAACGUAGGGAAACUUACGCGAAUACCGCAUACGACCUACGGGUGAAAGCAGGGGAUCUUCGGACCUUGCGCGAUUGAAUUAGCCGAUGUCGGAUUAGCUAGUUGGCGGGGUAAAGGCCCACCAAGGCGACGAUCCGUAGCUGGUCUGAGAGGAUGGUCAGCCACACUGGAACUGAGACACGGUCCAGACUCCUACGGGAGGCAGCAGUGGGGAAUAUUGGACAAUGGGCGCAAGCCUGAUCCAGCCAUACCGCGUGGGUGAAGAAGGCCUUCGGGUUGUAAAGCCCUUUUGUUGGGAAAGAAAAGCAGCAGGUUAAUACCCCGCUGUUCUGACGGUACCCAAAGAAUAAGCACCGGCUAACUUCGUG